rnacentral:rRNA from 2 species
UUGGUGCUUGCAUCAUGAUUUACAUUUGAGUGAGUGGCGAACUGGUGAGUAACACGUGGGAAACCUGCCCAGAAGCGGGGGAUAACACCUGGAAACAGAUGCUAAUACCGCAUAACAACUUGGACCGCAUGGUCCGAGUUUGAAAGAUGGCUUCGGCUAUCACUUUUGGAUGGUCCCGCGGCGUAUUAGCUAGAUGGUGGGGUAACGGCUCACCAUGGCAAUGAUACGUAGCCGACCUGAGAGGGUAAUCGGCCACAUUGGGACUGAGACACGGCCCAAACUCCUACGGGAGGCAGCAGUAGGGAAUCUUCCACAAUGGACGAAAGUCUGAUGGAGCAACGCCGCGUGAGUGAAGAAGGGUUUCGGCUCGUAAAACUCUGUUGUUAAAGAAGAACAUAUCUGAGAGUAACUGUUCAGGUAUUGACGGUAUUUAACCAGAAAGCCACGGCUAACUACGUGCCAGCAGCCGCGGUAAUACGUAGGUGGCAAGCGUUGUCCGGAUUUAUUGGGCGUAAAGCGAGCGCAGGCGGUUUUUUAAGUCUGAUGUGAAAGCCUUCGGCUCAACCGAAGAAGUGCAUCGGAAACUGGGAAACUUGAGUGCAGAAGAGGACAGUGGAACUCCAUGUGUAGCGGUGAAAUGCGUAGAUAUAUGGAAGAACACCAGUGGCGAAGGCGGCUGUCUGGUCUGUAACUGACGCUGAGGCUCGAAAGUAUGGGUAGCAAACAGGAUUAGAUACCCUGGUAGUCCAUACCGUAAACGAUGAAUGCUAAGUGUUGGAGGGUUUCCGCCCUUCAGUGCUGCAGCUAACGCAUUAAGCAUUCCGCCUGGGGAGUACGGCCGCAAGGCUGAAACUCAAAGGAAUUGACGGGGGCCCGCACAAGCGGUGGAGCAUGUGGUUUAAUUCGAAGCUACGCGAAGAACCUUACCAGGUCUUGACAUACUAUGCAAAUCUAAGAGAUUAGACGUUCCCUUCGGGGACAUGGAUACAGGUGGUGCAUGGUUGUCGUCAGCUCGUGUCGUGAGAUGUUGGGUUAAGUCCCGCAACGAGCGCAACCCUUAUUAUCAGUUGCCAGCAUUAAGUUGGGCACUCUGGUGAGACUGCCGGUGACAAACCGGAGGAAGGUGGGGAUGACGUCAAAUCAUCAUGCCCCUUAUGACCUGGGCUACACACGUGCUACAAUGGAUGGUACAACGAGUUGCGAACUCGCGAGAGUAAGCUAAUCUCUUAAAGCCAUUCUCAGUUCGGAUUGUAGGCUGCAACUCGCCUACAUGAAGUCGGAAUCGCUAGUAAUCGCGGAUCAGCAUGCCGCGGUGAAUACGUUCCCGGGCCUUGUACACACCGCCCGUCACACCAUGAGAGUUUGUAACACC